rnacentral:misc_RNA from 1 species
UUCUAGCCCCGAUUGAACGGCAUGUUUGAGCUCUUUUCGGGUUUAGGCGGCGGCUUUUAGCCGCCGCCUAAACCCGAAAAAGCGAGUAGUGAAAGCGGGAAAUAGC